rnacentral:rRNA from 1 species
CUACGGGAGGCAGCAGUGGGGAAUCUUGCGCAAUGGGCGGAAGCCUGACGCAGCAACGCCGCGUGCGGGAAGAAGGCCUUCGGGUUGUAAACCGCUUUCAGUAGGGACGAACACAGACGGUACCUACAGAAGAAGCCCCGGCCAACUACGUGCCAGCAGCCGCGGUAACACGUAGGGGGCGAGCGUUGUCCGGAUUUAUUGGGCGUAAAGAGCUCGUAGGCGGUUCAGUAAGUCAGGUGUGAAACCUCCAGGCUCAACCUGGAGACGCCACCUGAUACUGCUGUGACUGGAGUCCGGUAGAGGAGCGUGGAAUUUCUGGUGUAGCGGUGAAAUGCGCAGAUAUCAGAAGGAACACCAACGGCGAAGGCAGCGCUCUGGGCCGGUACUGACGCUGAGGAGCGAAAGCGUGGGUAGCAAACAGGAUUAGAUACCCCUGUAGUCC